AGUGAACGCUGGCGGUAGGCCUAACACAUGCAAGUCGAGCGGCAGCACAGUAAGAGCUUGCGGUUACGGGGGGGGAGGGGCGGACGGGGGAGGAGUACAUGGGAGGCUGCGGGGGCGAGGGGGAGAACGUGGGGGAUCAUACGGCAUUAGCGCAGAGGGCGUACGGGGGAAAGCAGGGGAUCUUCGGACCUUGGACGAGUCAAUGAGCCGAUGUCGGAUUAGCUAGUUGGCGGGGUAAAGGCCCACCAAGGCGACGAUCCGUAGCUGGUCUGAGAGGAUGAUCAGCCACACUGGAACUGAGACACGGUCCAGACUCCUACGGGAGGCAGCAGUGGGGAAUAUUGGACAAUGGGCGAAAGCCUGAUCCAGCCAUACCGCGUGGGUGAAGAAGGCCUUCGGGUUGUAAAGCCCUUUUGUUGGGAAAGAAAAGCAGCAGGUUAAUACCCCGCUGUUCUGACGGUACCAAAAGAAUAAGCACCGGCUAACUUCGUG
rnacentral:rRNA from 1 species